UAAGCGGAGGAAAAGAAACCAACAGGGAUUGCCCUAGUAACGGCGAGCGAAGCGGCAACAGCUCAAAUUUGAAAUCUGGCUACUUUGUAGUCCGAGUUGUAAUUUGUAGAGGAUGCUUUUGGUGAGGUGCCUUCCGAGUUCCCUGGAACGGGACGCCAGAGAGGGUGAGAGCCCCGUACGGUUGGAUACCAAACCUUUGUAUAGCUCCUUCAACGAGUCGAGUAGUUUGGGAAUGCUGCUCUAAAUGGGAGGUAUAUCUCUUCUAAAGCUAAAUAUAGGCUAGAGACCGAUAGCGCACAAGUAGAGUGAUCGAAAGAUGAAAAGCACUUUGAAAAGAGAGUUAAACAGCACGUGAAAUUGUUGAAAGGGAAGCGCCUAUGACCAGACUUGUUUCUUUCAGUUUUGUUAGUUCUCGGACUGAUUUACUCUGUUAGUACAGGCCAGCAUCAGUUUGUUGUCGGGGAGAAAGGCUUAGGGAAUGUGGCUCCUUCGGGAGUGUUAUAGCCCUUUGCAUAAUACCCUUCGGCAGACUGAGGACCGCGCUUCGGCAAGGAUGCUGGCGUAAUGGUCAUCAGCGACCCGUCUUGAAACACGGACCAAGGAGUCAACCUUAUGUGCGAGUGUUUGGGUGUAAAACCCCAGCGCGUAAUGAACGUGAACGUAGGUGAGAGCUUCGGCGCAUCAUCGACCGAUUCUGAUGUUCUCGGAUGGAUUUGAGUAAGAGCACACAGGGUUGGACCCGAAAGAAGGUGAACUAUGCUUGUAUAGGGUGAAGCCAGAGGAAACUCUGGUGGAGGCUCGCAGCGGUUCUGACGUGCAAAUCGAUCGUCAAAUAUGAGCAUGGGGGCGAAAG
rnacentral:rRNA from 1 species